GGCGGCUAACUAGGCUAGGUUUUUUCUUUUUUGGUUUUCUGAUAAGUAUUGGGCUAGGGUUAGGCUGAAUUUGGGUUUGGCCUGUUGGGUAGGUUUAGUUUUGGGUUAGUGGGUUUAAUUUAGAUGGGUUAUGUUUAGUUUAAUUUGGGCUGGUAAUUGGUUUAUUGUUUUGGGUUGUAAAAAAAAUUGGACUUUAUUAUUAUUUUUUUGUUUGGUUAUUUUCUAGGCUCGGGCCAAAUUGGGCCUCUACAGGCCCGUUUAAAA
rnacentral:lncRNA from 1 species